UACGUAGGUGGCAAGCGUUAUCCGGAAUUAUUGGGCGUAAAGCGCGUGCAGGCGGUUUCUUAAGUCUGAUGUGAAAGCCCACGGCUCAACCGUGGAGGGUCAUUGGAAACUGGGGAACUUGAGUGCAGAAGAGAAAAGCGGAAUUCCACGUGUAGCGGUGAAAUGCGUAGAGAUGUGGAGGAACACCAGUGGCGAAGGCGGCUUUUUGGUCUGUAACUGACGCUGAGGCGCGAAAGCGUGGGGAGCAAACAGG
rnacentral:rRNA from 1 species